GACGAACGCUGGCGGCGUGCCUAAUACAUGCAAGUCGAGCGAGCGGCGGACGGGUUAGUAAUGUAUGGGGACUGCCCGAUAGAGGGGGAUAAAUACUGGAAACGGUGGCUAAUCCCGCAUACUAUCGGAUAACCCAUAUGGGAUUAGCUAGUAGGUGGGGUAAAGGCUCACCUAGGCGACGAUCUCUAGCUGGUCUGAGAGGAUGACCAGCCACACUGGGACUGAGACACGGCCCAGACUCCUACGGAGGCAGCAGUGGGGAAUAUUGCACAAUGGGCGCAAGCCUGAUGCAGCCAUGCCGCGGGUAUGAAGAAGGUCUUAGGGUUGUAAAGUACUUUCAGCGGGGAGGCGUUACCAGCAGAAGAAGCACCGGCUAACUCCGUGCCAGCAGACGCGGUAAUAC
rnacentral:rRNA from 1 species